rnacentral:rRNA from 1 species
GUGGGGAAUAUUGGACAAUGGGCGCAAGCCUGAUCCAGCCAUGCCGCGUGUGUGAAGAAGGUCUUCGGAUUGUAAAGCACUUUAAGUUGGGAGGAAGGUCAGUAGCUUAAUACGUUGCUGAUUUGACGUUACCGACAGAAUAAGCACCGGCUAACUCUGUGCCAGCAGCCGCGGUAAUACAGAGGGUGCAAGCGUUAAUCGGAAUUACUGGGCGUAAAGCGCGCGUAGGUGGUUAUGUAAGUUGGAUGUGAAAUCCCCGGGCUCAACCUGGGAACUGCAUCCAAAACUGCAUAGCUAGAGUACAGUAGAGGGUGGUGGAAUUUCCUGUGUAGCGGUGAAAUGCGUAGAUAUAGGAAGGAACACCAGUGGCGAAGGCGACCACCUGGACUGAUACUGACACUGAGGUGCGAAAGCGUGGGGAGCAAACAGGAUUAGAUACCCCUGUAGUCC